AUUGAACGCUGGCGGCAUGCCUUACACAUGCAAGUCGAACGGUAGAGGGGCAACCCUUGAGAGUGGCGAACGGGUGAGUAAUGCAUCGGAACGUGCCCAGUAGUGGGGGAUAGCCCGGCGAAAGCCGGAUUAAUACCGCAUGAGACCUGAGGGUGAAAGCGGGGGACUCGAAAGGGCCUCGCGCUAUUGGAGCGGCCGAUGUCAGAUUAGCUAGUUGGUGGGGUAAAGGCCUACCAAGGCGACGAUCUGUAGCUGGUCUGAGAGGACGACCAGCCACACUGGGACGGAGACACGGCCCAGACUCCUACGGGAGGCAGCAGUGGGGAAUUUUGGACAAUGGGCGCAAGCCUGAUCCAGCCAUGCCGCGUGCGGGAAGAAGGCCUUCGGGUUGUAAACCGCUUUUGUCAGGGAAGAAAUCUUCUGGGUUAAUACCCUGGGAGGAUGACGGUACCUGAAGAAUAAGCACCGGCUAACUACGUGCCAGCCGCCGCCGUAA
rnacentral:rRNA from 1 species